AACUUCGCCUCCAUUGAGAUCUCAACCAAACUGGAAGGCCCCUGGCUCUGACCUAGUUUUCUGUAUCACUGAUAGUAUUUCUCCUGACCAGGUGCUCCUCCGUUUUCUUAUCUGCCUUCUGUAUGUUUAAGCAAAGACUUCUAAGCUUGUAAUUCAGGGAGGCCAUUGUACCAGGACUACACACACGUGUGACAUCCUCCACUCCUUCCUCAGUUAACUUUAACGUGAUGUGCUAGGCUGUGAGCCCCUUGUGCCCAUUGGUGAGUAGUUACUGACAUGAGUAGCAGCUUCGAAUCCACUGAAUUGAGUAAGCAUUCACCAAUGGGAGUUGGGGCUCCAUGCAGCCUAACCCUAUGUAAUGAUUCAACACUUCUGUCUUCAAGUGAGCACACAUGCAAUGCUACCAUUUUCCUAAAGGGUACCCAGAUUGUCUUGGGGUAUCAUAGUGUUCCUGUUCUGCUGUUGGUAAUUUUGUCAGGACCAUAGAAUAAAGUAGAAAAUUGAAACUCUGUGAAAGAUCAACAAAUCCGUGCGGAAUGAUAGGCUCUAUCUCUUUCUUUGACUCUCCUUUCAAACCCCAAAUCUCCUGUUUUGAGAGUUUGGAGUGAUAAGAGCUUUAAAAGGAAUUCUAGCUGUUUGUUUCUUUGUGGUCUGAAAGCCUUGAAAAAGUACCAUUUGGAAUUAAAAUUUUAUAUUUGCAUGUUUCUAUAUUUUAGUUAUGGAACAAAUGGGAGUUUGCUGAAUGAAUUAAUUGUGUUCCAUUGUAAAAGUCUAUCACGAGAGCCAUUAUAUAUGGUAGCUUAGAAAGCCCUGCAGAGAGAAAUUAAAGUCACUUCCCUUUCUAAUCAGGGCUUUCAGGAAAUCGUUGAUUACAAAAUCUAAUACAAUUGCUCAGAGACAUUUGUUUGAUAUUACUUCUGAUAAGUGAAAUUUUUAUGUAAUUUCACCAGUGAGUCUGGAAGCAGCUACACUCUCUUUGAUGGCAAGACUGAUUUCACUAAAGCGCUUCCUCUUAUCCCUCUAAAGAAUUAUAGCUAACAAAACAUUAGUUCCAUACUGUAGGUCCAGUAUAGAAUUAAAAUUACCAUCAGGAAAUGGCUAAUAUAAUGGACAAUAUGUUGUUUAAAGGUGGAUUGAACAUCACAUUAAGUGUAAACUUACCCCACCUAACCUCCAUGAAGGAGCCAGCAAAAAAAUUAUGGCACAUUUUAAAGAUUCAUUGUUAUUCCUUUUCAACAGAGUCAGCAUAUUUCAUUAGCGCCCAUCCAAAAACUGGAGGAAGCUCUGUAUGAGUAUCAGCCACUGCAAGUCGAGACCUAUGGACCACAAGUUCCAGAAACUGAACUUCUAGGAAGGCUAGGAUAUCUAAACCAUGUCCGAGCCACCUCUCCACAGGAUCUUGCUGGGGGCUACACUUCCUCCCUGGCUUGUCACCGAGCCCUACAGGAUGCUUUCAGUGGGCUUUUCUGGCAUCCCAGCUAGCCUGCAUACACCGGCCUGUGAGCAGUGGGCACCGGACUGGAGCAAGGAGCAAGUCAAGCAAACCUCCAGUGAAACUGCUGCCAUCUGCACUAUCGUUAACCUGCUGUCACCUUUUUCAUAUAUAUAUAAAAUACUUAAGCACAGCUGGCUUUACUAAAGUUUUUUUUUUAAGUCUGCACAAGAGCUUUGUAAAGUGGUGGAUACAUUUUUGCGGAAGGGGAACUCUUUAGUCAUGUGGCACUUCGCUGAGAGGGGCUGAAGCAAUAAGCCACAUCUAAUGGAAGAUGUGAAUAAUUCAGCUAUGGAUGUUUGAGGUUUAAAAAAGAGACUUGUAAAUUUUUUAAAAUAAAACCAGACUUUUUAUUAAA